rnacentral:snRNA from 1 species
ACAAUCUUCGGCAAUACAUAUACUAAAAUUGGAACGAUACAGAGAAGAAUAGCAUGGCCCCUGCGCAAGGAUGACACGCAAAUUCAUGAAGCGUUCCAUAUUUUC